UACGUAGGGUGCAAACGUUGUUCGGAAUCACUGGGCGUAAAGAGCGCGUAGGCGGUCUGACAAGUCCCCUGUGAAAGCCCCCGGCUUAACCGGGGAACUGCAUGGGAUACUGUUGGGCUAGAGUGCAGGAGGGGAGAGCGGAAUUCCUGGUGGAGCGGUGAAAUGCGUAGAUAUCAGGAGGAACGCCGGCGGCGAAAGCGACUCUCUGGCCUGUAACUGACGCUGAGGCGCGAAAGCUAGGGGAGCAAACGGG
rnacentral:rRNA from 1 species